AUUCAAGAGCAGCUAAAUAAGCAGAAUUUUUUGGCUGAGGAAGUAGAGUUUUCGUAGCCAGUCGAGGUCAUUGUCGAUCGUAAUGUGAAAAACUUUGCGCCAUUCAAGUUAAAAUGAUGUUAUCUCUCUUACUGCUGCUGUUUCUCAAACAAGCUAUGGCUCAAUCCGUAAUGCCUCAAGCAUCUUGUGUUUACUCAAAGGGAGGAGACCCGAGGCUGGUGGUUUAUGUAUCGUUGGCUAAUCAGUCUGAACCAAUUCUGCAAAGGUAUGGUCUAACAUAGCAUUACAUUCUUCGAUUUCAAUUUUUUUCGCAU